rfam:Loxodonta africana unplaced genomic scaffold scaffold_27, whole genome shotgun sequence.
GCAGUGAUGAUUCAGUGGUAGAAUUCUCGCCUUCCAUGCCAAAGACCCAGGUUCAACUCCCGGCCAAUGCA